UACGUAGGGGGCAAGCGUUGUCCGGAUUUAUUGGGCGUAAAGAGCGUGUAGGCGGCCAUGCAGGUCCGCUGUGAAAACUCGAGGCUCAACCUCGAGACGUCGGUGGAAACCGCAUGGCUAGAGUCCGGAAGAGGAGAGUGGAAUUCCCGGUGUAGCGGUGAAAUGCGCAGAUAUCGGGAAGAACACCGGUGGCGAAGGCGGCGACCUGGGUAGAUACUGACGCUGAGGUGCGAAAGCGUGGGGAGCAAACAGG
rnacentral:rRNA from 1 species